UCGAAGCCAAAAAAUGCAAGAACAAACUAUUUACUCCACAAAUGGGAGUUGUACCUUAUCCGCUUCCUGAAGCACAGGGGUGAUCAGUCCACCAUUGAUAGCCACAUCCACAGCUAUAUUUAUAUUACUAUUGUAAGUGAAACUUUUUCCGUCUUUACAACUAGCAUUCACCACAGGAUGCUGAACCAAUGCCAUUGCUGCAGCUUUUGCCAACAACGCGGUCAUGGUCACGCCCUUGGGCUUCACCUAUCAUUCAUGGAGAAAUCCUAGUAUUCAACAUUCUGUAAAAUGAGCUGUUCUUUGUACGAGCAGUAGAGGUGCUGAAUUAUGUAAAUUCAUGACAGUACA
rnacentral:lncRNA from 1 species